GGCCAGUGGCCAGGACCCAGGCAGUGUGAGUGCCACUGAAAAUCAGCUCGCAUGCCGCCUUCUGCGCCCAUGCCAUAGGUUAUCUACCCCUGUGCUAAGCAAUAAGGUGCCACAGAACU